rnacentral:lncRNA from 1 species
AUAGUCAUUCUCUGGUAUCGGUAACAUCUCAAAGUCGUUACACAAGGAGACAACUGACACGUCGUGUGCACAGCGCAGACGUCGAGCACGAGAGAGACGACGGGUAAGCUGUCUCUGUUGUUGUCCUGCUCAACGAGUCACUCUCGCCAUCGGAGGAUGAUGUCUACUCUAAUCUAACCACGAGUAUUAAACACAACGGCGCCGGUCCGUGCGGCCAAAAUUAGGCUCCUCUCGUCUGUCACCUCACCUCCCUAUCCAAAAACCAGUCAGUCUCUGAACACACGGCUACGAUGGAAGCGUGCCAAAAAUCGCAGGUUAUGCCCGAACCUUGAGAAAGUGAAGGGAGAACGAAUGAUCGGUGGAGCAUAUAUAUAUACGAUUAUAUGACGAACCUUUGAUAAUCAUCACUGGCCAAAUAUAGCAAAAUUGAUCAAGAAUCAUGGCGUUUUUGCUCUGCAACGGCGACGUAGCAGUCUUCCGUCGGCUCCCACGACGAUGCUGUGAGCAGGGAGAGGUCCNNNN